UAGGUGUAGGCGUAGCGAAAGCGAGUCUUAAUAGGGCGACUAAGUUUGUUGGAUUAGACCCGAAACCGAGUGAUCUAGGUAUGAGCAGGUUGAAGGUGCAGUAACAUGCACUGGAGGACCGAACCCACGCCUGUUGAAAAAGGCGGGGAUGACUUGUGCCUAGGGGUGAAAGGCCAAUCAAACUCGGAGAUAGCUGGUUCUCUGCGAAAUCUAUUUAGGUAGAGCGUCAUCCGAAUACCCCCGGGGGUAGAGCACUGGAUGGGUAAUGGGGCCCC
rnacentral:rRNA from 1 species